rnacentral:rRNA from 1 species
GACGAACGCUGGCGGCGUGCUUAACACAUGCAAGUCGAACGGAAAGGCCCUGCUUUUGUGGGGUGCUCGAGUGGCGAACGGGUGAGUAACACGUGAGUAACCUGCCCUUGACUUUGGGAUAACUUCAGGAAACUGGGGCUAAUACCGGAUAGGAGCUCCUGCUGCAUGGUGGGGGUUGGAAAGUUUCGGCGGUUGGGGAUGGACUCGCGGCUUAUCGGCUUGUUGGUGGGGUAGUGGCUUACCAAGGCUUUGACGGGUAGCCGGCCUGAGAGGGUGACCGGCCACAUUGGGACUGAGAUACGGCCCAGACUCCUACGGGAGGCAGCAGUGGGGAAUAUUGCACAAUGGGCGGGAGCCUGAUGCAGCAACGCCGCGUGCGGGAUGACGGCCUUCGGGUUGUAAACCGCUUUCGCCUGUGACGAAGCGUGAGUGACGGUAAUGGGUAAAGAAGCACCGGCUAACUACGUG